ACCACAGGUGCUGGGUCACAUACACCCACUUAAGUCUCUUCAGCUGACAAGAACCUGAUUUAAUGCACUGGGUGAUAACUGAACACCUACCUGUGGGCUAGGUUUGCUUUAAUCACCAUCAAUAUUGCUUGAACCAAUCCCCUGCUGAGGACUUCUUUGAGGACUCAACCACCCCCACAGUGACUGGGGAGGUACCAGCUCCAACCCCCAGACCCCGACCAGUAUUUCCCUAUCUUCUAGGACAGCAGAGACUACAAGUGAUUUUAGUAGAAAACCCAACAUCAAGUCUCAGAAAUCAUGGCAAUGACCCCUACAGAACUCCUGACUCCCUAAACCCAGUGAUCACGGCCUUCACAUUACUGGUGGCAAUUACUUGAUUCAUAGAACCGUAUUAGGAGUCAAUAUCAAAUGAUUAGUUCUUUCCUGGAAAUGGUGGACUUCCAAGAAGGUGUAAACAUUAUUAUUUUCAUUAGCUCUACACAUAUUGGCGUAACCGAUGAUGUUCUGCAUCUAGUACUCUGAGAAGCAACAAGAUGUGUGCACUUUAUACACAUUUGUUUUCUAGAAUUCGUCCAAAUAAAUUUUGUAAAAGAGAUAACUUUUUGGAGUUAUUUUUGUACAAGGAUCAGCAAACAUUUCUCAUCACCUUCUGAUUUCCUCCUCCAUUCUCUCUCCCUGGUAUUGCUUUCAUUACAAUAUAAGUUUCUCUUUGG
ensembl:lncRNA